rnacentral:rRNA from 1 species
UACGAGGGGGGCGAGCGUUGUUCGGAAUCACUGGGCGUAAAGCGUACGUAGGCGGACCAUUAAGUCGGGGGUGAAAUCCCAGGGCUCAACCCUGGAACUGCCUUCGAUACUGGUGGUCUGGAGUCCGGGAGAGGUGAGUGGAACUCCUAGUGUAGAGGUGAAAUUCGUAGAUAUUAGGAAGAACACCAGUGGCGAAGGCGGCUCACUGGCCCGGUACUGACGCUGAGGUGCGAAAGCGUGGGGAGCAAACAGG